UACGUAGGGAGCAAGCGUUAUCCGGAUUUAUUGGGUGUAAAGGGUGCGUAGACGGAGAAGCAAGUUAGUUGUGAAAUCCCUCGGCUUAACUGAGGAACUGCAACUAAAACUACUUCCCUUGAGUACUGGAGAGGAAAGUGGAAUUCCUAGUGUAGCGGUGAAAUGCGUAGAUAUUAGGAGGAACACCAGUGGCGAAAGCGGCUCUCUGGCCUGUAACUGACACUGAGGCUCGAAAGCGUGGGGAGCAAACAGG
rnacentral:rRNA from 1 species